rnacentral:rRNA from 1 species
CCUACGGGGCGCAGCAGUGAGGAAUAUUGGUCAAUGGACGAGAGUCUGAACCAGCCAAGUAGCGUGAAGGAUGACUGCCCUAUGGGUUGUAAACUUCUUUUAUAUGGGAAUAAAAUGUUCCACGUGUGGGAUUUUGUAUGUACCAUAUGAAUAAGGAUCGGCUAACUCCGUGCCAGCAGCCGCGGUAAUACGGAGGAUCCGAGCGUUAUCCGGAUUUAUUGGGUUUAAAGGGAGCGUAGGUGGAUUGUUAAGUCAGUUGUGAAAGUUUGCGGCUCAACCGUAAAAUUGCAGUUGAAACUGGCAGUCUUGAGUACAGUAGAGGUGGGCGGAAUUCGUGGUGUAGCGGUGAAAUGCUUAGAUAUCACGAUGAACUCCGAUUGCGAAGGCAGUUCACUGGACUGCAACUGACACUGAGGCUCGAAAGUGUGGGUAUCAAACAGGAUUAGAUACCCGUGUAGUC